rnacentral:rRNA from 2 species
ACAUGCAGUCGAGCGAACUGAUUAGAAGCUUGCUUCUAUGACGUUAGCGGCGGACGGGUGAGUAACACGUGGGCAACCUGCCUGUAAGACUGGGAUAACUUCGGGAAACCGAAGCUAAUACCGGAUAGGAUCUUCUCCUUCAUGGGAGAUGAUUGAAAGAUGGUUUCGGCUAUCACUUACAGAUGGGCCCGCGGUGCAUUAGCUAGUUGGUGAGGUAACGGCUCACCAAGGCAACGAUGCAUAGCCGACCUGAGAGGGUGAUCGGCCACACUGGGACUGAGACACGGCCCAGACUCCUACGGGAGGCAGCAGUAGGGAAUCUUCCGCAAUGGACGAAAGUCUGACGGAGCAACGCCGCGUGAGUGAUGAAGGCUUUCGGGUCGUAAAACUCUGUUGUUAGGGAAGAACAAGUACGAGAGUAACUGCUCGUACCUUGACGGUACCUAACCAGAAAGCCACGGCUAACUACGUGCCAGCAGCCGCGGUAAUACGUAGGUGGCAAGCGUUAUCCGGAAUUAUUGGGCGUAAAGCGCGCGCAGGCGGUUUCUUAAGUCUGAUGUGAAAGCCCACGGCUCAACCGUGGAGGGUCAUUGGAAACUGGGGAACUUGAGUGCAGAAGAGAAAAGCGGAAUUCCACGUGUAGCGGUGAAAUGCGUAGAGAUGUGGAGGAACACCAGUGGCGAAGGCGGCUUUUUGGUCUGUAACUGACGCUGAGGCGCGAAAGCGUGGGGGAGCAAACAGGAUUAGAUACCCUGGUAGUCCACGCCGUAAACGAUGAGUGCUAAGUGUUAGAGGGUUUCCGCCCUUUAGUGCUGCAGCUAACGCAUUAAGCACUCCGCCUGGGGAGUACGGUCGCAAGACUGAAACUCAAAGGGAAUUGACGGGGGCCCGCACAAGCGG